GUUUCCACGUACUGUGCAUCGGUACAUGUUUUCUAAUAACCUCUUGUUUUGUUCUCCACGUUUUCAUCACUGUGUCUUUAACCUAGCCGUAAAGUACAAGACAGAGUGAAAAAGAUGAGAGAACACUUCACCAGUGGUUGUCUUCUCUUACUUUGCUUUAUUAAAGGGAUGAUUGGGGAAGGCUCUAGGACUGACCUUGCUUGUCAAGGAAGUCUACAUCAUGAAUCGAGGCGACUGCUGUGGUGAGUUUUGUUUACUGUGUUAGUCAGGCAUGGCUCUACCCAAAAAAACAAAAAAAAACCCAGCAAACAACAACAACAGCAACAACAAAAACAACCCAG